AUGUUAUCAAGAAAGGUGGAGGGAUUAGACCCUGUGAAGCCUUAGCAACCCUUUAUAUUUAAUAAAGAAGGUGCUACAUUCUACUUAAUUUCUAAUUCAUUUAUUAGCAUAUUGGAUAGAUAACUC
rnacentral:ncRNA from 1 species